UGAGGAAUUUUGCACAAUGGGGGAAACCCUGAUGCAGCGACGCCGCGUGAGUGAUGAAGGCCCUUGGGUCGUAAAGCUCUGUCAAUAGGGAAGAAGUGUGUGAUGGCCAAUACCCAUCACAUUUGACGGUACCUAUAAAGGAAGCACCGGCUAAAUCCGUGCCAGCAGCCGCGGUAAUACGGAUGGUGCGAGCGUUGUUCGGAAUUACUGGGCGUAAAGGGCGCGUAGGCGGCGUGUCAAGUCAGAUGUGAAAGCCCACGGCUCAACCGUGGAAGUGCAUCUGAAACUGGCAUGCUUGAGUACUGGAGAGGAAAGUGGAAUUCCUGGUGUAGAGGUGAAAUUCGUAGAUAUCAGGAGGAAUACCGGUGGCGAAGGCGACUUUCUGGACAGAUACUGACGCUGAGGCGCGAAAGCGUGGGGAGCAAACAGGAUUAGAUACCCUGGUAGUCCACAGCUGUAAACGAUGUGCACUAGGUGUAGGGGGUCGUUGACCCUUUCUGUACCGUAGCUAACGCAUUAAGUGCACCGCCUGGGGAGUACGGUCGCAAGAUUA
rnacentral:rRNA from 1 species